UCUAAUUUCUUAUAUAUUUUUGUCUAUCUGAAUAUAUAUUGAUGAUUUCAUUUCAUUUAAAUAAGCAGGACAUUCUUAUAUUUUGCAAUUGUUUUGUUGAAUCCACGAUGGAAUGAAAAGGUGAUUACAUCUGUGGCCGAAGGAUUUUGUUGCAUUCGUUCUUAGCGUAGAAUCGCUUGGACUUUGCCUGUCGAAGCCCUAGGUUCAGGCUAUAUUUGAUGAUCAUGGAAGUCGUGUUGAUGAAGCUGGACCAUCUAUACCUGUACAAAUUGGAUUGGGGUGGCAUUUUUUAUGUGCAACAAUGAUGUAAUUUGCUUGAAUGUUCAUUUUGUUUGAUAAGGAUGCACAUACUUUGUGGAGUUGCACUAGUUAUUGUUGGAUGUUUUGUGGAAUUGUACAAGUUUUAAUUUUUGGAUAUUUUGUGGAUAUUGCACUAUUUUAUUGUAUUAGGAUGAAAUUAUUUGUAAUGAUAAAUGGAUAUUUUCAUUUUGUUAA